rnacentral:rRNA from 1 species
GGGUCAAUGAGCUAUAGGUGUUAUAAAGACUUGCUGGUGUUUGUCUCCUUGAGGCAUACGGCUUAACCAAAACUCUCAAAGUUUGACCUCAAAUCAGGUAGGAAUACCCGCUGAACUUAAGCAUAUCAAUAAGCGGAGGAAAAGAAACCAACCGGGAUUGCCUUAGUAACGGCGAGUGAAGCGGCAAAAGCUCAAAUUUGAAAUCUGGCGUCUUCGACGUCCGAGUUGUAAUUUGAAGAAGGCAACUUUGUAGCUGGUCCUUGUCUAUGUUCCUUGGAACAGGACGUCAUAGAGGGUGAGAAUCCCGUGUGGCGAGGAUCCCAGUUAUUUGUAAAGUGCUUUCGACGAGUCGAGUUGUUUGGGAAUGCAGCUCUAAGUGGGUGGUAAAUUCCAUCUAAAGCUAAAUAUUGGCGAGAGACCGAUAGCGAACAAGUACAGUGAUGGAAAGAUGAAAAGAACUUUGAAAAGAGAGUGAAAAAGUACGUGAAAUUGUUGAAAGGGAAGGGCAUUUGAUCAGACAUGGCGUUUGCUUCGGCUUUCGCUGGGCCAGCAUCAGUUUUAGCGGUUGGAUAAAUCCUCGGGAAUGUGGCUCUGCUUCGGUAGAGUGUUAUAGCCCGUGGGAAUACAGCCAGCUGGGACUGAGGAUUGCGACUUUUGUCAAGGAUGCUGGCGUAAUGGUUAAAUGCCGCCCGUCUUGAAACACGGA